AUAAGUCAAAAUAUUUGGAAAAUGUUAUGGUGUAUAGAAAAUGCUAAUAUAAGCAUUCAGUCAACAUUUAAUGUACCUACGGUCAUUUGUUUUAGAGUUGCACCAAAAACCAAAAUCGAUUUUCUCGAAAACGGACUUUGCGUAUUAGAAUGUCUAUAAACUUGCGGACCAGUUUGUAUAGUUAAAUUUGGCAUUCGAACUAUAAUUGAAGUAGAAAACCAGAAUAGGUGCAUUGCAGAUCACAAAGAUUUCUGUAAAAAAACAUACGAUUUAUAAAUAUACCGUAUAGGUAUACUGAGUAUUUAUAUAAUAAUAUAUAAGUUCUUUGGAUUUAUCUGAGUAAAUAAUAUAUUUUAUAAUAUCUAUGGCAAUCGUCAAUUGUUGAAAUUCGUCGGCGACGGUUAACAAUUCUAAUAAUUUCAGCAAUACUAUUGUAUUAUAAAUAUAAUAUAUUGUAUAUUUUGAUUUCAGUGAAUAAAAAAAUAAUAGGCCACAAAUAUAAACGGAUAGUUCGUUAAACCGGAUAAGUUGUAACACAAACUCGCAAAUUUCGUUUGAUCAGGUUAUUUUCAUAAAAUAUUUCGAUACUUUCAAGUUUCAGCUCAUCGGAGUGAGAUGAUUAGAUGAAAAUGGAUGAAGAUAGCUGUUUCUUCGGCGAUGGCGGCACUCUAGCUACAUUUCACCGGAAGAGUAGAUGUUUACGAUUCUGGCUGUAUUCUGGAGCGUUUCCUCAUGGGCGUCGCAGUUCACACACGUCACGGAUUCCACCGAAGGAAUCGAUAAUUAAAACUGAACUUUUGGAUCGGAGAUAUGAAGACGCGCGCUGCAUUUUCCUUGGCGGAGACGCACAGCUUUGACACUAGACAAUAUUAUACACUCAAAGGGAACGCGUUUCGCCGGAAGAAUAAAU